GACGAACCGUGCGAACGUUGUUCGGAAUCACUGGGCAUAAAGCGCACGUAGGCGGUGCCGUAAGUCGGAUGUGAAAUCCCUCGGCCUAACCGAGGAACUGCGUCCGAUACUGCGGUGCUUGAGGACCAGAGGGGUGCAUGGAAUUUCCGGUGGAGCGGUGAAAUGCGUAGAGAUCGGAAAGAACACCAACGGCGAAAGCACUCUGCUGGGCCGACACUGACACUGAGAGACGAAAGCUAGGGGAGCGAAUGGG
rnacentral:rRNA from 1 species